AUGCUGAAGCUGAAGCUCCAAUACUUUGGCCACCUAAUGCAAAGAACUGACUCUUUGGAAAAGACCCUGAUACUGGGAAAGAUUGAAGGCAGGAGGAGAAGGGGGCAACAGAGGAUGAGAUGGUUGGAUGGCAUCACCGACCCGAUGGACAUGAGUUUGAGUAAGCUCUGGGAGUUGGUGAUGGACAGGGAGGCCUGGCAUGCUGCAGUCCAUGGGAUCACAAAUAGUCCAUGGACACAACUGAAUGACUGGACUGAACUGAACUAUGUCAGUGUCUAUAAAACUUAUGGACAAGAAAUUCUGGAGAAAAAAUUCAAAAGGGCGUUUAGGGAGAAACCUACUUCCCAUGAAGUCCCUGGCACCUCAAUCCCUGAAGGCAACUAAUGCUAAUACCUCCUGGAGUUCCUUUUGUUCUGGGUUUGUAUAAUUUAGUCGUGCUGCGCAAAUCAUAUCUGUUGGAUAAAUUUCAAUGUGCAUUUGUAAUUUUGACAUAUAUUACUAAGUUGUUCUCCAUAGAGAUUGUACAAAUUUGCAUUCUUUGCAUCAAUAUAUGAGAGUGAUUCUUUCCUGCACAGCCUUGCCAACAGAAUGAGUAAUUAGAUUUUUAAAUUUUUUUAUUCAACAGGUUAAUGUCUCACUGUUCUCUUUCAUUAGUCUUAUUUUUGGUAGUUAUCAUUAUUAGCAUCUUUUAAAAUGCUUGACAGCCAUUUAUUUAUAUUUUCUUUUAGGUGAUCUCUUUCUAUCCUAUGCCCGUUUUUAAAUUGUACUCUUUUUUUAAAAACAAUAUUUAUUUUUAUUUAUUUAUUUAUAAAUGGUAAAUUGGUUGUGCUGGGUCUUAGUUGGAGCAUGCCUGGUCUUUGGUUGCAGCAUGUGAACUCCUCAUCCUAGCAUGGAGGAUCCAGUUCCCUGACCAGGAUCAAAACCCGGGGCUCCAGCACUGGGAAGGUGGAGUUCUUACCACUGGGCCACCAGGGAAAGCCCUUAAAUGGUGCUCUUGAUUUUUUAAAAUUGAUUUGUAGGAGCUUUUUAUAUAUAAGAAAUUAUCCUUGUGUCUGGGAUACAAAUUGCAAAUACUUUCUCCCAGUUUCUUGUCUUUUUCCUUUGCUUAUGAUAAUUUUUGGCAUGCAGAAUUUUUAAAAAUUAAUUUUUAUCAAUGUUUUAUUCUGUGACUUCCAAAUUUUUAUGUUAUACACAGAAUGAUUUUUCCUAUUUUAAGUUUUAAAAAACUUCCCCCGUACUUUCCCUCCUGUUUUCUUUGAAGAUUAUGUACUGUGUUGGUUAUUGGAGGACAAACCCAAUAUUGUUCUCUUGCAGCGACAUUUGUACCUCCCAUGUUUUUGGCCCACCUAACUUGGUUGCAUUCUUAAUGAGAGUUUAAAGAAUA
rnacentral:lncRNA from 1 species